rnacentral:rRNA from 1 species
AACUGGAGGACCGCACCGGUAAGCGUUGAAAAGCUUUCGGAUGAGCUGAGGGUAGGGGUGAAAGGCUAAUCAAACUUGGAGAUAGCUCGUACUCCCCGAAAUGCAUUUAGGUGCAGCCUGUGGAGUUUCUUACGUGAGGUAGAGCGACUGAUUGGAUGCGAGGCUUUCACCGGCUAUCAAGUCCAGACAAACUCCGAAUGCACGUUAAGUAAGAUCCACGGAGUGAGGGCAUGGGUGCUAAGGUCCAUGUCCGAGAGGAGAAGAAUCCAGACCAUCGGCUAAGGUCCCGAAAUAAUAGCUAAGUUGACCAAACGAAGUCAGAGUGCGAAGACAGCUAGGAUGUUGGCUUGGAAGCAGCCAUUCAUUUAAAGAGUGCGUAACAGCUCACUAGUCGAGUGCUUUGGCGUGGAUAAUAAUCGGGCAUAAGCUAUUUACCGAAGCUGUGGGAUGUGUAAACAUCGGUAGGGGAGCAUUCUAGCGACGCUGAAGGUGAGAGGACAACUCUUGCUGGAGUUUCUAGAAAAGCAAAUGUAGGUAUAAGUAACGAUAAAGGAGGUGAGAAACCUCCUCGCCGAAAGACUAAGGGUUCCUGAUCAACGCUAAUCGGAUCAGGGUUAGUCGGGGCCUAAGGGGAAGCCGAACGGCGCACCCGAUGGAAGAACCGGUUAAUAUUCCGGUACUAAUUAUGUGAGCGAUGUGGAGA